CAGUUCAGACUGCAGGCUGCAACUCGCCUGCACGAAGUGGAAUGCUAGUAAUCGUAGGUCAGCAUACUACGGUGAAUACGUUCCCGGGCCUUGUACACACCGCCCGUCAAACCAUGAGAGUUGGCAACACCCGAAGUCGGUAGUCUAACCGCAAGGAGGACGCCGCCGAAGGUAGGAUUGGCGACUGGGGUGAAGUCGUAACAAGGUACC
rnacentral:rRNA from 1 species